rnacentral:rRNA from 1 species
AACGAACGUUAGCGGCGCGCCUAACACAUGCAAGUCGCACGAGAAAGGGCUUCGGCCCCGGUAAAGUGGCGCACGGGUGAGUAACACGUGGGUAAUCUGCCUUCGAGCGGGGGAUAGCGACCCGAAAGGGUCGCUAAUACCGCAUAAGACCACGACCUCGAAAGAGGAUGCGGUCAAAGCUGGCCUCUAUCCAUAAGCUAGCACUUGAAUAUGAGCCCGCGGCCCAUCAGCUAGUUGGUAGGGUAAUGGCCUACCAAGGCGAAGACGGGUAGCUGGUCUGAGAGGAUGAUCAGCCACACUGGAACUGAGACACGGCCCAGACUCCUACGGGAGGCAGCAGUGGGGAAUCUUGCGCAAUGGGCGAAAGCCUGACGCAGCGACGCCGCGUGAGUGAUGAAGGCCUUCGGGUUGUAAAGCUCUGUGGGGAGAGACGAAUAAGUGCGGGCUAAUACUCCGCAUGAUGACGGUAUCUCCUUAGCAAGCACCGGCUAACUCUGUGCCAGCAGCCGCGGUAAGAC